GUGAGGAAUAUUGGUCAAUGGGCGCGAGCCUGAACCAGCCAAGUAGCGUGCAGGACGACGGCCCUACGGGUUGUAAACUGCUUUUAUGCGGGGAUAAAGUGUGCCAUUUAUGGCAUUUUGCAGGUACCGCAUGAAUAAGGACCGGCUAAUUCCGUGCCAGCAGCCGCGGUAAUACGGAAGGUCCGGGCGUUAUCCGGAUUUAUUGGGUUUAAAGGGAGCGUAGGCUGGGGUCUAAGCGUGUUGUGAAAUGUAGGCGCUCAACGUCUGAAUUGCAGCGCGAACUGGUCCCCUUGAGUUCGCUGGAAGUAGGCGGAAUUCGUGGUGUAGCGGUGAAAUGCUUAGAUAUCACGAAGAACUCCGAUUGCGAAGGCAGCUUACUGUAGCGUAACUGACGCUGAAGCUCGAAAGUGCGGGUAUCGAACAGGAUUAGAAACCCCAGUAGUCC
rnacentral:rRNA from 1 species